rnacentral:tRNA from 1 species
GUUUUUAUAGUUUAUUAAAAAUAAUGAUCUUGUAAAUCAUAGAUGAUAAUUAUCUAAAAACU